AUGAGCCAAGUUUAGAAGCUUCUUUAAAGAGCUUCAUAGCAAGAUUAAACUGAAGAGUUUGAUCAUGGCUCAGAUUGAACGCUGGCGGCAGGCUUAACACAUGCAAGUCGAGCGGUAACAGGAGAAGCUUGCUUCUUGCUGACGAGCGGCGGACGGGUGAGUAAUACUUAGGAAUCUGCCCAGUAGUGGGGGAUAGCUCGGGGAAACUCGAAUUAAUACCGCAUACACCCUACGGGGAAAAGGGGGCGCUUGCGCUCUCGCUAUUGGAUGAGCCUAAGUCGGAUUAGCUAGUUGGUGGGGUAAAGGCCUACCAAGGCGACGAUCUGUAGCUGGUCUGAGAGGAUGAUCAGCCACACCGGGACUGAGACACGGCCCGGACUCCUACGGGAGGCAGCAGUGGGGAAUAUUGGACAAUGGGGGGAACCCUGAUCCAGCCAUGCCGCGUGUGUGAAGAAGGCCUUUUGGUUGUAAAGCACUUUAAGCAGUGAAGAAGACUCUAUGGUUAAUACCCAUAGACGAUGACAUUAGCUGCAGAAUAAGCACCGGCUAACUCUGUGCCAGCAGCCGCGGUAAUACAGAGGGUGCAAGCGUUAAUCGGAAUUACUGGGCGUAAAGCGAGCGUAGGUGGCUUAAUAAGUCAGAUGUGAAAUCCCCGGGCUUAACCUGGGAACUGCAUCUGAUACUGUUAGGCUAGAGUAGGUGAGAGGGAGGUAGAAUUUCAGGUGUAGCGGUGAAAUGCGUAGAGAUCUGAAGGAAUACCGAUGGCGAAGGCAGCCUCCUGGCAUCAUACUGACACUGAGGUUCGAAAGCGUGGGUAGCAAACAGGAUUAGAUACCCUGGUAGUCCACGCCGUAAACGAUGUCUACUAGUCGUUGGGGAACUUGAUUCCUUAGUGACGCAGCUAACGCAAUAAGUAGACCGCCUGGGGAGUACGGCCGCAAGGUUAAAACUCAAAUGAAUUGACGGGGGCCCGCACAAGCGGUGGAGCAUGUGGUUUAAUUCGAUGCAACGCGAAGAACCUUACCUGGUCUUGACAUAUCUAGAAUCCUGCAGAGAUGCGGGAGUGCCUUCGGGAAUUAGAAUACAGGUGCUGCAUGGCUGUCGUCAGCUCGUGUCGUGAGAUGUUGGGUUAAGUCCCGCAACGAGCGCAACCCUUUUCCUUAGUUACCAGCGGUUCGGCCGGGGACUCUAAGGAUACUGCCAGUGACAAACUGGAGGAAGGCGGGGACGACGUCAAGUCAUCAUGGCCCUUACGACCAGGGCUACACACGUGCUACAAUGGUAGGUACAGAGGGCUGCUACACAGCGAUGUGAUGCGAAUCUCAAAAAGCCUAUCGUAGUCCAGAUUGGAGUCUGCAACUCGACUCCAUGAAGUCGGAAUCGCUAGUAAUCGCGGAUCAGAAUGCCGCGGUGAAUACGUUCCCGGGCCUUGUACACACCGCCCGUCACACCAUGGGAGUUGAUUGCACCAGAAGUGGGUAGCCUAACUUUUAGAGGGCGCUCACCACGGUGUGGUCGAUGACUGGGGUGAAGUCGUAACAAGGUAGCCGUAGGGGAACCUGCGGCUGGAUCACCUCCUUAU
rnacentral:rRNA from 1 species